UGUCGUUGAUCUGAUGGGUAAUUACCUUUGAAAGACAGGAAAAACAGGCACCGAGCACCGCAUCUUGGCCUGGUAGCGGCCUUCUUCGGUGUUGGGCCACCAGAUUUCGUCCUUUUUCAACCAAUGGUCUAUAUCUGUAAAGAGUAGGAACACGAGCCAUGUGAAAGAUUCCCGAAAUCAGUCCCUUUGAUGUAGAAGGCCCCACGGAUGAUCGGGAAUACUGUUUCAUAUGCGCUUUGAUCCGUUUGUUAGAUCUACAUUAAAAUUUGUAAAGAAUUUUCCAGAUCAAGUAGGCCGAGAAUUGGGCUAACAUUUUCAGGAACAUUGCAGGACCAUGCAGGAGCGCACUAGCAUGCCAGAUAUGAAGAAACCUGUGGAGUAGAAAAUGAAUAAUGAGUAAGACCAUGCAGACGAUAAAUAUUAAAUGAAAAGACUGAAAAAAUUCGCAUAAAUUGUAUGCAAUAUCAUUUAGAAAUGUUUAAUUCGCAAGCACGAGUUUUUUUGAGAGCCAUAGUCCGAAGUUAAGCGCAUUAAAGAUAAUUGAAAUUUAUAUUAUGUAAAUUGCCAGUAGCGGGAAAAGUAAAAGUGGCAAAUGGGUGCAAAAACUGUUUCCCAAGAAUACAAAAAAAAGGAAAGCAAAAAAUGUAAAACAAUAAACAAAUUAAGUGCGUGACCCUCACAGAAUAUCUCGUA
rnacentral:sRNA from 1 species